rnacentral:rRNA from 1 species
CUCACCAGGUCAGGACACGGUAAGGAUUGACGGACUGAAGGCUCUUUCUCGAUUCCGUGGAAAGUGGUGCAUGGCCGUUUUGGUUGGUGGAUCGAUCCGUCUGGUUAAUUCCGUUAACGAACGAGACCUCGGCACUCCGAAUAGCGCGGCGGACGUCGCGGCCUCCGGGCCGUCUUCCGCACGAGCUUCUUAGAGGGACCGUCCCCCGCCGGGGAAGGAGGUGCGAGGCAACGACAGGUCUGUGAUGCCCUUAGAUGUUCUGGGCCGCACGCGCAUUACACUGACGCGUCCAACGGGUGACUCCCGACCCGAAGGGGCCGGGGAAUCCGCAAGGCGCGUCGUGAUGGGGAUUGAACGUUGCAAUUGUUGUUCACGAACGAGGAAUUCCUAGUAGGCGCGGGUCAUCAACCCGCGCCGAUUACGUCCCUGCCCUUUGUACACACCGC